rnacentral:rRNA from 1 species
AACUUCUGAAUGUUGACCUCGGAUCAGGUAGGAAUACCCGCUGAACUUAAGCAUAUCAAUAAGCGGAAGAAAAGAAACCAACAGGGAUUGCCCUAGUAACGGCGAGUGAAGCGGCAACAGCUCAAAUUUGAAAUCUGGCUUUCCGGCCCCAGUUGUUAUUUGUAAAAGAUGAUUUUGAUGCGGUGCCUUCCGAGUUCCCUGGAACGGGACGCCAUAGAGGGUGAGAGCCCCGUCUGGUUGGAUGCCAAAUCUCUGUAAAUCUCCUUCGACGAGUCGAGUAGUUUGGGAAUGCUGCUCUAAAUGGGAGGUAUAUGUCUUCUAAAGCUAAAUACCGGCCAGAGACCGAUAGCGCACAAGUAGAGUGAUCGAAAGAUGAAAAGCACUUUGAAAAGAGAGUUAAAAAGUACGUGAAAUUGUUGAAAGGGAAGCGUUUAUGACCAGACUUGGGCUUGGUUAAUCAUCUGGGGUUCUCUCCAGUGCACUUUUCCAGUCCAGGCCAGCAUCAGUUUUCGCCGGGGGAUAAAGGCUUCGGGAAUGUGGCUCCCCUCGGGGAGUGUUAUAGCCCGUUGUGUAAUACCCUGGUGGGGACUGAGGUUCGCGCUUCUGCAAGGAUGCUGGCGUAAUGGUCAUCAACGACCCGUCU